rnacentral:lncRNA from 1 species
GCUUUCUGUGUCCUCAGCGCAGGGAUCGGGCGCACAGGUACCUUCAUCGCCCUGGACUUCCUCCUGAAGAUGGGGAAGGCUGAGGGGAAGGUGGAUGUGUUUCACUGUGUGCAGCAGCUGCGGGAGCAGCGGGUCAGCAUGGUGCAGACCAAGGAGCAGUACAGCUUCCUGUACGAGGCGCUUCUCGAAGGCUUGCUCUGCGGCAGCACCGGGGUCCCACUGGAGAGCAUCGCCACCCUCGUCCACUCCCUUGGAGAAGCUGAGACCUCAGGCCACAACAGUGUCCUAGAGAAGGAGUUCAAGGUACCACCAGGAGAUGGUGCACUCUGUGCUUUGUGCUGUGAGGGCUCAUCUGUGAUGCCAACCCACUCCCUGCUCCCCUCCCCAGCAGUGGGAUGGAGAUGGGGAUCAUUUCUCUGGAGUGGAUCAAGAAGGUGAGGUGCUGACAGGCAGGACUGACUUGGGUGAAUCAUCUCUACAGGCCCUGCAGAGAUU